GGGCGAUGAGGAGUUCGUCUUCUGGUUGAUCUGUGCCCGCUGGUAGAAAGGUCCAUUUAACCACAGGUAACGCUGUGUUGCGACGUCGCUGGGAAACAACACAACCACUCGAGUGCAGUACUGAAAGGCUCUACAGUGGUUGCUGGCAAACAUCGCCCCCUUGUGGAAAAACUGCCAGCUGCGUCUUUCCUGGGUUCACAGCAUCGGGCUCGUCACUGUGCCGGACCUCUGUCAUCACACGCCUCUGGACACCGCUGCAUCGGAGCGUUCUGAUUGGCUGAGAUGGCUCAAAGAGUGCAACUGAGGCUGUGGUUGAGAGCAGAUAAAAUUUAGGGCCAUGUGCACCAGUUGAUGCAAACAUUUCUCUUUUAAAAAACUAUUUAGACUCCAUCCUCAUGUCUUCCUCACAGUCAUUUAUAAAAUAGAACAGAAGACAGAUGAGCUACACUGUGUUUAUCUGAGGAGCCUGGAAAGAAAGUGAGUGGACUUUUAAGUUUAAGUUCCUUGAAGACGUUUCACCUCUGAUCAGAGAAGCUUCUUCAGUUCUGAGACCAAAUGGUGCAGAGUCCCAGCUAUUUAAGCCCUAGUGGGAUUUGUCCCUUAAGAGGGUUGUUGACCCACUAUUGAUCAUGUGACUCAUCACAUGAGUGGCAGACCUACAGCCACCCCCUCUGUUCAAAGAUCACAGGUGACAUAUAUGGCUUCUUUCACUCCUCUUUCAAACCAUCUGUCAUCUCUGUCCAAAAUCUGAACACUGGCAUCCUUGAAAGAGUGACCUUUGACCUUUAGAUGCAGCUGAGACAGCUGAGUCUCAUCCUGUCGAGGUGGCUCUUCUAUGUUGUGCCAUGCGUUUAUGAAUUGGCUGUUUGGUUUCUCCAAUGUAGACGUCUGAGCACUCCUUGCUGCACUGCACAGCACUGUACACUAUGUUGUUUACUUUGUGUUUCAGUUUCGUUCUUGGGAUGUACCAGAUUCUGUCUGAGGUUGUGGCUCGGUCUAAAGUGCACUGGGAUGCCAAGAAGAAGGGUUGUAAGUUUUGAAUAGCUCGGAUGAGAGAUGAAACGUCUUCAAGUGCCUUAGAUGACCAUGACCUGGAUGAUUGAGAACCUACAUAGACAUACAUUGUGUUUAGUCUUAUGGUACACAACAUAUUUAUGAGCUUA